GAAUGAGAUGAUGAUCAUGAUUUGGUUUCCCUAUUGGUUUGAUAGCCGAAAUGAUGGUAUCAUUCAUGCUUGUGUUAGCUCUAUCUGAUCAUUC